GAGGGUAUAGCUCAAGUGGUAGAGUACAUGCUUAGAAUGCACAAGCUCCUGGGUUCAAUCCCCAGUACCUCCU
rnacentral:tRNA from 1 species